GGGUGUAUUAUUAUAGAUCCACCCCUUAUUGAGCCACCAUCCUUCUCUUUUUGUUGGGAUCAUGUAGUACCCAUUUAGCAUUCUACCUCAAAUAUUUGCCUUGACAGCCUAAGUUCCUCUCUCCUCCACCUCUUCUCAUGCAUCCCUACAAACAGCUUCUUCCUGUAUGAUCUUUCUUGCAUCCAAUCCUACUUGUACUAAAAAGAC
rnacentral:lncRNA from 1 species